rnacentral:rRNA from 1 species
AGUGAACGCUGGCGGUAGGCCUAACACAUGCAAGUCGAACGGCAGCACAGUAAGAGCUUGCUCUUACGGGUGGCGAGUGGCGGACGGGUGAGGAAUACAUCGGAAUCUACUUUUUCGUGGGGGAUAACGUAGGGAAACUUACGCUAAUACCGCAUACGACCUACGGGUGAAAGCAGGGGAUCUUCGGACCUUGCGCGAUUGAAUGAGCCGAUGUCGGAUUAGCUAGUUGGCGGGGUAAAGGCCCACCAAGGCGACGAUCCGUAGCUGGUCCGAGAGGAUGAUCAGCCACACUGGAACUGAGACACGGUCCAGACUCCUACGGGAGGCAGCAGUGGGGAAUAUUGGACAAUGGGCGCAAGCCUGAUCCAGCCAUACCGCGUGGGUGAAGAAGGCCUUCGGGUUGUAAAGCCCCUUUGUUGGGAAAGAAAAGCAGCAGGUUAAUACCCCGCUGUUCUGACGGUACCCAAAGAAUAAGCACCGGCUAACUUCGUG